GACGUAGGGCGCGAGCGUUGUCCGGAAUUAUUGGGCGUAAAGAGCUCGUAGGCGGUUUGUCGCGUCUGCUGUGAAAACUCGAGGCUCAACCUCGGGCUUGCAGUGGGUACGGGCAGACUAGAGUGCGGUAGGGGUGACUGGAAUUCCUGGUGUAGCGGUGGAAUGCGCAGAUAUCAGGAGGAACACCAGUAGCGAAGGCGGCACUCUGGGCCGGUAUUGACGCUGAGACGCGAAAGCGUGGGGAGCGAACAGG
rnacentral:rRNA from 1 species